ACCCUUUUCCCAUUCAUAAACAUGAAGAUGGGGUGUUCACACUCUCGUGUGACAUGUGCAUCCCUUAAAUCUUGUUAUGAGUUUGGCACAUUAUCCAUCUGACA
ensembl:snoRNA